UAAAUGGGGAUUACACUAUGAUGGAGCCCUGAUACAGAGGACAAAGCACAGUUAAAUGGAGGAGCGGGACAGAAGCCGCUCCCCGUCCCGCAGGACCAGUCGGGUGGAGCAGGUGGUGGGGCGAUGGCUACGACGCUCCAGGGAUUCCAGCAGCAGAGAGCGUAUCCUGGUAGAUGGGAAGGCAGCUGCG